UUGUAGGACAGGUGGACAAGUCUUGUUUUUGGAGCUGGACCAUAAAACAAUAAAAAACACAUUCUGUGUCUAUUUUUGAGAGACGUGUUGUCUCUCUCCACAGGGGUCACGGAUACACAGGAACUGAUCUGUAUUUCACCCCCUCUCUCUUCUCCUUUAAGGUUUUGGUUACUGGAAAUAUACUAAACGCAUGUAACAUUGGGUAUAUCAUAUGUUGUGAUGCUACAAAGGUUUCAUCUUCAUGUUUGGUGUUGUUUUAAAGGUCAUGGUGCGAUGGUUAAAAAGGUCUAAUUUCUAUAAUGCUAAGAGAAAGUAUAUCAAAGUUUAAAACUUAAGACAUAAUCUGUACUCCUGUGAUGGGUGUCAACUCCUGAGGAGAUCUAGAUCACAGAUGGUUAACAGUCCCAUUUGGUGCUCCUUCAGGUCACGAGAACCGACCAACCAAAUCCUGUUUUGAGAUUUUAUUAUUCUUUGUCUCAUUCUGUGUAUAUAAGGUGGCUUGGCAAGAGACUCUGGGAAGUAUUCUUUAGUAAGAAUCUUCCCCACACUUUGGGUGUGUGUAUUCAGACAUUAUGGAAGUAUUCUUUAGUAAGAAUCUUCCCCACACUUUGGGUGUGUGUAUUCAGACAUUAUGGAAGUAUUCUUUAGUAAGAAUCUUCCCCACACUUUGGGUGUGUGUAUUCAGACAUUAUGGAAGUAUUCUUUAGUAAGAAUCUUCCCCACACUUUGGGUGUGUGUAUUCAGACAUUAUGGAAGUAUUCUUUAGCAAGAAUCUUCCCCACACUUUGUGUGUGUGUAUUCAAACAUUAUGGGAGAAAUCUUUAACAGAAUCUUCUUACACCAUUUUGGGUAUAUUAUAUUCAUGAUGGAAGUACUCUGUAGCCAGAGUGUCUAUUGCCAGAAGCGCUGAGGAAGGAACGAACACGAGUCCCCUUCACCCACUCCACUUGCAUCCGUCGUUGGGCUUGUGGGUGGCACCUUACAGCUUGGUGACCCCGACGUGAUGACGUAUACCACGGGACGUGAUGACGUAGUACACCCGAACAAGUGACGUGGUACUCCAGGAAGCUUUCCAGCGCGACAUUUUAACCAUAACAGAGUACUCCAUUCAUCGCAAAAUAGGAGGUUUAAACGUCUACUUUUCUGUCUGCAGCUGUGUUGGUAAGUUGAUAUUAUUUGCCUAUUAGAAAUGUUGAGGGUGAGCAUAAACGCACCCGUAUGUUGUAGAAUGGGACGGUUAACUCCCAUUGAAAGUCCGGAGAAAUCCGGUUGUGCAUGAAAAUUAGAAUAACAACACAGCUGUCAGAGAAAUAAUAACAUUGCGGAUAAGGAAUUAAUAUAUUUCCUCGCGUUUCGAUUCAAACAUCAUCUCCUGUGUUUACACUCAGUAGGAGUGAAUAUUACAUGGACUAAUGACUAAAUGUUAUCGUGGUACAUUACACAAAGUCGUAAAUUUGAGUCUAAAAGUGGAACAUCGCUGAGGCGAUUAUGUAUUUGCGUUGUGGAACGAUCUCGCAACUAUAUCUGAAACCCGUAAAGUAUUAGCGAAUAUCCGUGAAUAAUAAAAAUCCAGUCGGAUGACAAAACUCCGUGCCCAAGUCAAUGCGUCCAUGUAUGUAAACAAACCUGCGCAAAACAGGCGAUAAUAACUCUGUUAAUGGAAAUACACAGCAUGACAACAGCAGUGUAGAUGAGAAUAAAUUCCCUUUGUUAGCAAAUUAAAGAUCUUUUGUUUGUUAAAGCAACGAAAGAUAAACUUAAAAUGGAUUAACAUCUUCCAAAUUUUAUUCUGGUUCUCAAAUAAGGGUAAACAUUGAAUUAAUACAGUAAUAACUAUUGAACUCUCUGUAUGAGAUUUUAUGUUGUUCACAGCACAUGUGCAACAUUUAAAGGAACAAAAUCCUUCAGAGCAAGAAUUAACUUAAAUAAAGGAUGUUAUAUACAUUUAAACUACAGUGUAGUUUAAGGUGUUUGCAUAUGAGAAGUGAAUUUCGGGUUUAUAUGAUUGAUAUGACAAGAGCAAAUGUUUAUAUUAAUCUUUAUAGGAUCAGUAAAUGCAGUAAACUAUACAGUUUACAUACUAUACAUGAUGAGUUAAGGAGAUAAUUGUAAUUAUGGAGAAUGAAGGAGAGAUGGAAGUGUAUAAAUGAUUGAAGGCAGCAUUGUUGGGGUUAGAGGUUCAGUGCAUGCAGAGUGGAACUAAAUGUUGGAUAUUAAGCAAGUAGGGAGAUAGAGAUUUGUAACAAAUCGAUUGAUAUGGAAUGAUUAGGAGUGAUUUUGUUAAAGAACACUCAGAACUGGAUAAGUGUAGAUAGAAUGGAACCAGGAAGUUUUGUUACAAUUCCUUAAUUAAUGCAGGAUUUCUCAUUGUGUAAAUAAGGUAAAUUGAGCUAAAGCUUUGACUGAUGCACAGCAAAAUAAUGAUGAAACUGCUAAAAUGGUCAAUAAAACACCUGUGAUCAGAAAGUUUCACCACUGAGAUCAAAGGGCUUUAACCCCCUCUCAGAAAAGAUCUGCUGUUUCUCCUUGUUUCAAGGGAAAUAUUUUAGCUUGGUUGUAACAAAUAAAAUACAUCAUUAUUUUCUGUGAAUCAAUCAAAGUGAUUUAAGGCAAUGAUUAACAACAUGAUAUACAGUACAGCGGUGUUAAAAGUUCUAGGCUUAGUCCUUUCUUUAUGAGAUUAUGGGAAUUGUCAAAUAAACAAUUUAGUCCAAUUGUCUAGAGAUUGUUGAAGCUGAGUCUUUGUUUCUCUAUGAGAUUGUGGUAAUUGUUAAAGAGCAAUUUGUUGUCUAAUUGUCUAAAGAUUGUGAAAGUCAUAAAAAUAGAGCUUAUAGCUGAGUCCUGACAUCACAGCAGGAAUAUAGAAUUCCUGUUUAAAGUGAAUCAGUGGGAGCUAGUAAAAGUGUUUUUAAACUUCUGUAUGUCUUCAGCCUAAAAGUGUAUGACUUUAAAAUCUAAAGCAAAAUUUGUGCCUUACGCUCUAUUCAUUGAUUACUUUUCAUAUUCAAAUAGAAUCUCAUCUAAAGAAGACUUAAUGAGACCUCAGCUAAAAACAUGAGAAAAUUGUGCCCAAUUCCAGAGGGCCACAAAAAACCACAGCUGAGCAAUGAGUUAAGUUCUGUACCCAGCAUGUGCUGCGGUGCAUUGCAUCCUAAAAACAACAGAGAACUGUUGCUGUUAGUAGACCUGUUAAUACAGCUGCUAAUGCAGGGUCAAUUCACAGAAAUGUGUUCUCAAUUUUGCAAAAGUACCAUCAUUCUAGAAGCCCUUGAGACCAGUUAUAACAUUUAUUUUAAUUAAUAUUAUUUUUUAAUAUAAUGUAAUUUAUAUUAUAAUUACCUUAUGAUAUACAUUAUAUUAUAAUGGCCAGACAGGCCUAAUAUGGUGAAAAAUUAUGCAUUACAGGCAUUUCAAACUUACAUGAUUAAGACCCACAAAAAGGCCCAGGGAAUAUUUAGAUUCAGAUUUAUUUGGUCCACUAUCUCGUGCCAAAACGGGGGUAUGUGUAUGCUUUUGCUUAUUGUUGUUUGUUGUUUAUUGUUGUUUGUUUGUUGUUGUUUAUUGUUGUUUGUUUGUUGUUGUUGUUGUUUGGCUUUGUUUUUGCUUUACAGGAACACUGAUAAUAUCAUGGCACCAGAUAGCAAACCAAACAACUCUUUUAUAAGUUUGAAACAUCAAUUUAAACUGAAUCUGAUCAGUCAAUGUACUUUUAUAGUUGGUUGAAACUGUGGGAAAUGUUAAAUCAUCAGAAAUUACAGUCCUACAGGUCAUAGAGAUUGAAAAGUUUAAUAGUGUGUACCAUAAACACAGCAGUUAAACAUGUGAGCUGACGGUACUGAGAACAACUCAGAGUAAAGCCAUUUAAAUUUAAGAUUAAAAUUAAAGUUAAUCCAAAAAUUUCCCCAGCAAAACUGGGACUUCUUAUGCUCAUAGUUUAAAUGCAAAUGCAGUUUAUGGUGCUAUACACACUCAGACUGAAACAACAUAGUCAAAUAUAACAGAAAAUUCCCAACUUAAUCUGGCCUCUGAAAUUAAUUUGCAGAAAGUAAUGAUACAAAUCUUCUUACCAGGAAGAAUUUACACCCUAAUGCAUUGCUGUCAUUGAUAGCUGUGUGAUAGUGACAUCAUUUUAAACUAAAGAUGAUGCCAUGUCUUAAUGCAAAUUGCCCAAAAUUUUAGAAAUUAAUGUUUCUUUGUUUGUUAUCUUAACUUUUUUCCUUUCAGGUGGAUUACUAUGACUCCUUAAGAGUCCUGACACUAGAGACGUGUCUGAGCCCAAAUACAGGCACAAACCUAAAAUGCAGGAGGUGGGUGUGAUAAUGCUUUGAGGGGUCAUACACAUCUCACAGUAAUAAACUAUUAUAUUCAUUAUAUGACCUCCCGAUGUAGCAUCGGAACUAAAAUUUUGCAACACAGAUUACUUUAGGUUAGAAUCCACCCACUUCCAGGCAUGAACAUGUAAUGCACAUAUUUUCAACAUUACAACAACAUAACACUGUGACCUGGUAUAAGUUUUAAAACUAUCCAGGCUUAAACCACCACACAUAUGUAUGAUAAAUGACUUAGAAUCCAAACUCUAGAGUUUGUCAUACAUGCAAACCCAUUUAGCAUCUCACACAUAGGAGAGAAAAUUAAAGGUCAACUUAUGAUUUUAAUUUCAUGGUAAUAUAAACUAUUGGGUCAAUUUUCUCUUGAACUACAUGAAACAUUUCAGUGUGCAUGGAACAUAUGUAUGGUUAUAGUCACACAUCAAUUGUUUUGUCUCUGAUUGUACAAAUACAGGUAAAAUAAGAACUAUUAAUUGAUUACAUAAGACCUAUUUCAGAUUAAAAUAAGUAAGUGAAGAAUGAAAUGGCUAGCAUGGCUGCAGACAUGUCUAAACAUUUCAAACUUUACAAAAUGGUUAUAUUUGAAGUGCUGGCACUUCUAAUGAUCAAUCACAUAAAUCAGACACCUUACCAUUGAAUGUGACUAAACCAACAUAUAUGUACAGAAUUAUUUGACAACAUGAUAAGAAUUAUUGACAAUGGAUAAAUAAGAAAUUCAGAAAUUAUUUGAUUUAAGUUUAAGUUGUCUGGGUAUGUUUUAAGUACUUAAUUGAAUUCUUAGAUAUACAUGGUUAACUUGCAUUUCAAGGUUUUGAAUAAUUCUAUUAUUAUUAAAAUUAUAAAUAUAUCAUAUUAUAUAUACUUUAGUAUAAAUAUCUGUAUUUUAUAUACAUAUAAUUUACAUUUAUUUGAAUGGUAUUGUUAUUAUAUGCUUUAAUGAUGUAUACCACUGGUAAAUAUGCUAGUUAAAAUAACUUUUUGCCACUCUCCCUUUAAAAUACACAGAUUAUAUCAAAAUUCCACUCUAUGUUCAAUAUGCAUAGUAGUGAAGAGUUUGGUAAUGGGAUCACCUUUUGGGACAAAUUAUUUUGAAAAAGGAAAGGAGACCUUAUUUACCAUUCGCACCAAUAUCAUGAAACAUCUAAUAAUGUCAUGUGUUAUUGUAAUCAUUCACAACUAUUUCCUUCCAAGGAAAGUCAAGUUCAUCAGUGUUCAGUCAUUUCAUGGUCAUGUGUAUUAUAUUCUAAUUCCCUCUCAUACAGUGGUACAUUCUCAGUGUGAGGAAUUCCUUCACCUACGGAGGUCUGACUUUUCUAUCAAAAAAAUACCUUCUGCCAAUAGGUAACAGAGGACUGUUCAAAAGGUCAGGAAAAUAUCCAGGGGAGGACCCCAUUAGAGACAAAUGCUUCUAAAUGUUGAGAGGAGACAGCUUCCAUGAACAGAGCACAUGCGUUUGGCUGACACAAUGGACUUUGUACAACAAAUUUCAACCAGAUCCAGUUGAGAGAAAAUCUAACUACGAGAACCACAGAGAUUCUGUCCAUCACAGACACCUGUUCAGCACAGUUAAGUUCCUGCUUUGAUAUCUGCAGGCAUUGUUUAACAUUACAGGUGUUCAUCUUGAAAAGACUGUUACAAUUACAAGGACAUAUGGAGACCAAAGAAGUCCACCAAAAAUGACCCCUUAGGUACUUUGACAAUGACCCAAGGGGGUCAGGGGAGGCGUUGUAGGACAGGUGGACAAGUCUUGUUUUUGGAGCUGGACCAUAAAACAAUAAAAAACACAUUCUGUGUCUAUUUUUGAGAGACGUGUUGUCUCUCUCCACAGGGGUCACGGAUACACAGGAACUGAUCUGUAUUUCACCCCCUCUCUCUUCUCCUUUAAGGUUUUGGUUACUGGAAAUAUACUAAACGCAUGUAACAUUGGGUAUAUCAUAUGUUGUGAUGCUACAAAGGUUUCAUCUUCAUGUUUGGUGUUGUUUUAAAGGUCAUGGUGCGAUGGUUAAAAAGGUCUAAUUUCUAUAAUGCUAAGAGAAAGUAUAUCAAAGUUUAAAACUUAAGACAUAAUCUGUACUCCUGUGAUGGGUGUCAACUCCUGAGGAGAUCUAGAUCACAGAUGGUUAACAGUCCCAUUUGGUGCUCCUUCAGGUCACGAGAACCGACCAACCAAAUCCUGUUUUGAGAUUUUAUUAUUCUUUGUCUCAUUCUGUGUAUAUAAGGUGGCUUGGCAAGAGACUCUGGGAAGUAUUCUUUAGUAAGAAUCUUCCCCACACUUUGGGUGUGUGUAUUCAGACAUUAUGGAAGUAUUCUUUAGUAAGAAUCUUCCCCACACUUUGGGUGUGUGUAUUCAGACAUUAUGGAAGUAUUCUUUAGUAAGAAUCUUCCCCACACUUUGGGUGUGUGUAUUCAGACAUUAUGGAAGUAUUCUUUAGUAAGAAUCUUCCCCACACUUUGGGUGUGUGUAUUCAGACAUUAUGGAAGUAUUCUUUAGCAAGAAUCUUCCCCACACUUUGUGUGUGUGUAUUCAAACAUUAUGGGAGAAAUCUUUAACAGAAUCUUCUUACACCAUUUUGGGUAUAUUAUAUUCAUGAUGGAAGUACUCUGUAGCCAGAGUGUCUAUUGCCAGAAGCGCUGAGGAAGGAACGAACACGAGUCCCCUUCACCCACUCCACUUGCAUCCGUCGUUGGGCUUGUGGGUGGCACCUUACAA